rnacentral:rRNA from 1 species
AGAGUUUGAUCAUGGCUCAGAUUGAACGCUGGCGGCAUGCCUUACACAUGCAAGUCGAACGGUAACGCGGGGCAACCUGGCGACGAGUGGCGAACGGGUGAGUAAUGCAUCGGAACGUGCCCAGUAGUGGGGGAUAGCCCGGCGAAAGCCGGAUUAAUACCGCAUACGACCUACGGGUGAAAGGGGGGGAUCGCAAGACCUCUCGCUAUUGGAGCGGCCGAUGUCAGAUUAGGUAGUUGGUGGGGUAAAAGCUCACCAAGCCGACGAUCUGUAGCUGGUCUGAGAGGACGACCAGCCACACUGGGACUGAGACACGGCCCAGACUCCUACGGGAGGCAGCAGUAGGGAAUAUUGCGCAAUGGAGGAAACUCUGACGCAGCGACGCCGCGUGCGGGAUGAAGGCCUUCGGGUUGUAAACCGCUUUCAGUAGGGAAGAAGCGAAAGUGACGGUACCUACAAAAGAAGCACCGGCUAACUAUGUGCCAGCAGCCGCGGUAAUACAUAGGGUGCAAGCGUUGUCCGGAAUUAUUGGGCGUAAAGAGCUCGUAGGUCGUUUGUUACGUCGGAUGUGAAAAUCUGAGGCUCAACCUCAGACCUGCAUUCGAUACGGGCAAACUAGAGUUUGGUAGGGGAGACUGGAAUUCCUGGUGUAGCGGUGGAAUGCGCAGAUAUCAGGAGGAACACCAACGGCGAAGGCAGGUCUCUGGGCCAACACUGACACUGAGGAGCGAAAGCGCGGGGAGCGAACAGGAUUAGAUACCCUGGUAGUCCGCGCCGUAAACGGUGGGUACUAGUUGUGGGAACCUUCCACGGUUUCUGCGACGACGCUAACGCAUUAAGUACCCCGCCUGGGGAGUACGAUCGCAAGAUUAAAACUCAAAGGAAUUGACGGGGCCCCGCACAAGCAGCGGAGCAUGCGGCUCAAUUCGAUGCAACGCGAAGAACCUUACC